GUCUUCGUGGCUCAGUUGGUUAGAGCGUUGGUCUCAUACUUUUCGUGUGAUUAGAUUGUUCACAGUCUGGCCAUCCAAAGGUCGAGAGUUCGAGUCUCUCCGAGGACA